rnacentral:rRNA from 1 species
GACCUAGGAGGGGGACCUUCGGGCCUCUUGCCAUCGGAUGUGCCCAGAUGGGAUUAGCUUGUUGGUGAGGUAACGGCUCACCAAGGCGACGAUCCCUAGCUGGUCUGAGAGGAUGACCAGCCACACUGGAACUGAGACACGGUCCAGACUCCUACGGGAGGCAGCAGUGGGGGAAUAUUGCACAAUGGGCGCAAGCCUGAUGCAGCCAUGCCGCGUGUAUGAAGAAGGCCUUCGGGUUGUAAAGUACUUUCAGCGGGAAGGAAGGUGUUGUGGUUAAUAACCGCAGCAAUUGACGUUACCCGCAGAAGAAGCACCGGCUAACUCCGUGCCAGCAGCCGCGGUAAUACGGGAGGGUGCAAGCGUUAAUCGGAAUUUACUGGGCGUAAAGCGCACGCAGGCGGUCUUGUCAAGUCGGAUGUGAAAUCCCCGGGGCUCAACCCUGGGAACUGCAUUCGAAACUGGCAGGCUUGAGUCUUGUAGAGGGGGGUAGAAUUCAAGGUGUAGCGGGUGAAAUGCGUUAGAGAUCUGGAGGAAUACUGGGUGGCGAAGGGCGGUCCCCUGGACAAAGACUGACGCUCAGGUGCGAAAGCGUGGGGAGCAAACAGGGAUUAGAUACCCUGGUAGUCCACGCCGUAAACGAUGUCUACUUGGAGGUUGUGCCCUUUGAGGCGUGGCUUUCCGGAGCUAACGCGUUAAGUAGACCGUCUGGGGAGUACGGCCGCAAGGUUAAAACUCAAAUGAAUUGACGGGGGGCCCGCACAAGCGGUGGAGCAUGUGGUUAAAUUCGAUGCAACGCGAAGAACCUUACCUGGUCUUGACAUCCACAGAACUUUCCAGAGAUGGAUUGGUGCCUUCGGGAACUGUGAGACAGGUGCUGCAUGGCUGUCGUCAGCUCGUGUUGUGAAAUGUUGGGUUAAGUCCCGCAACGAGCGCAACCCUUAUCCUUUGUUGCCAGCGGUCCGGCCGGGAACUCAAAGGAGACUGCCAGUGAUAAACUGGAGGAAGGUGGGGAUGACGUCAAGUCAUCAUGGCCCUUACGACCAGGGCUACACACGUGCUACAAUGGCGCAUACAAAGAGAAGCGACCUCGCGAGAGCAAGCGGACCUCAUAAACUGCGUCGUAGUGCGGAUUGGACUCUGCAACUCGACACCAUGACGUUGGA